UACGUAGGGGUGCGAGCGUGUCCGGAAUUAUUGGGCGUAAAGGGCUCGUAGGCGGUUUGUCACGCCAGGAGUGAAAACUCGGGGCUCAACCCCCGAGCCUGCUUCUGAUACGGGCAGACUGGAGGUAUGCAGGGGAGAACGGAAUUCCUGGUGUAGCGGUGAAAUGCGCAGAUAUCAGGAGGAACACCGGUGGCGAAGGCGGUUCUCUGGGCAUUACCUGACGCUGAGGAGCGAAAGUGUGGGGAGCGAACAGG
rnacentral:rRNA from 1 species